UACGUAGGGUGCAAGCGUUAAUCGGAAUUACUGGGCGUAAAGCGUGCGCAGGCGGUUGUGCAAGACAGAUGUGAAAUCCCCGGGCUCAACCUGGGAACUGCAUUUGUGACUGCACAGCUAGAGUACGGUAGAGGGGGAUGGAAUUCCGCGUGUAGCAGUGAAAUGCGUAGAGAUCGGAAAGAACACCAACGGCGAAAGCACUCUGCUGGGCCGACACUGACACUGAGAGACGAAAGCUAGGGGAGCGAAUGGG
rnacentral:rRNA from 1 species